GUGGGGAAUAUUGGACAAUGGGCGCAAGCCUGAUCCAGCAAUGCCGCGUGAGUGAUGAAGGCCUUCGGGUUGUAAAGCUCUUUCGCACGCGACGAUGAUGACGGUAGCGUGAGAAGAAGCCCCGGCUAACUUCGUGCCAGCAGCCGCGGUAAUACGAAGGGGGCUAGCGUUGUUCGGAAUUACUGGGCGUAAAGGGCGCGUAGGCGGUACUUCAAGUCAGGCGUGAAAGCCCCGGGCUCAACCUGGGAACCGCGCUUGAGACUGGAGAACUAGAGUUCGGGAGAGGAUGGUGGAAUUCCCAGUGUAGAGGUGAAAUUCGUAGAUAUUGGGAAGAACACCGAUGGCGAAGGCAGCCAUCUGGACCGACACUGACGCUGAGGCGCGAAAGCGUGGGGAGCAAACAGGAUUAGAAACCCUAGUAGUCC
rnacentral:rRNA from 1 species